rnacentral:lncRNA from 1 species
UUGGUGUGGGAAGCACAUGAGGAGGGAAAUUUGAGACAUGUUUUGACCUUUCUUCUUAGGUGCUGAAUAUAAUAACAUUCCCAGAGCCCCUGAUCCUGGGAGAGCAGUGUUGGCAGCGUUGUAAGGAAGAGACCAGCAAGGCAGGAGGACAUAGUUCCAAGUACUGGGGAUUUGCUUGCUUUCCAUGGACUCCUAUCUUGCGACAUCUUUCGUAUGACAGAGACAUGGAUUUGUUUCUUUGAAUGACUUUCUUCACCAGUCUUCAACAUCCUGACCAACCAUAGAAUAAGACAAGUUACUAAAUCACAGGAGUAUCUGGGAAUUUGAGGAGCCUUGUAGAGGUGAAUGACCUGCCCAAGGUCACAGCAGUGGAGAUGCGAUACAAGAAGCCGUGCUCAGAGUGCUGUAUGCGAUGAUGCUGAAUUUCCUCCAGAUGGAAAAGUGAUGAUGGCAAUGUGGUCACCAGCGAUAGAGCUGAGAAAAUAUAAUCCCUCCUUUAUAUGA